UAUUUAUGUUUAUUACCUUAGGGUUUAAAUCACAGAUCUAUUGUCUUCCUCAUUCUCUCUGGUCUUCAACUGCUCCGAAUCAUAUUGAUGAUCUAUAAUACUGUUUCGAUUCUUGAAGAACUCUUCCUGAGAAGCCCUGAGAUUCUCAUAAGCAACACAUAGACACUUGUGAGAAGCAUAACCAGCCUUGACGUUUUUUUCUCCCAAGCUCUCUCCACCAUUUUCUGCUUCCCCGUCGUCUCCGGCAACAUCUCUCUUCGCUACCUACCUGUCUCCUUCAACCAAGACAUUGGCUCCACCACUCCUUUCUUCACUGCCAUCUUCGCCUUCCUCAUCACUUUCAAGAAAGAGUCCCCCCAGAGAGUAAGCAAAGGCAACAUUACGCCUUUUCCACUUAAAGCUACCGAACCAGAGGAACGCCUCAUUCAAGAGCAGUUGAAGAGUAUUUUCAUGAGGCAUGACAAAAAGGUCAAUGGAUGUCUCUGCCGGGAAGAGCUAAAAAUGGGUUUUAAAGAUCCUUAUAAAUUUCAUGUUUUGUUUCCUGGAUGGUGAUUGCAAAUCUGAUGCUGACGAAGAUGGAAUCAUCUCCAAGGACGAGAUGGAUGGUCUCAUCAGAUAUGAUUGUGAAUUAUUAGGAUAUAAUUAAAGUUAAGUAGUGGAUUAAUGACGAUUACGAAUAUGUAACACCAUGUGGUGAAGUAACAUCACUCUUAAAUAUCUAUGUGUGUGCGCGCAUGUGUGUACAUGUAGCGAAGCUGCACCUUCCUUAAUUACUAUGAUGAAUGAUAAUAAAUAAAUAAAUAAAAUGUAACUUUCA